ensembl:lincRNA
AGCCCCUUCUCCUUUCAGCCCCACCGAGGCGGCCUGUCCCAAGGGACUUGGAGUGGAGACUUGAGCCACCACCGGUCAGAGGUUCAGAUUUCACAGGCACAGCUGGAACCAAGCACCCUGGUGCCCAAUUGUCUGCGACUACAGCUGGAUCAAGGGUUCCACUGUGGGAACGGCUUGCCCCAGCAGGGCCUUUCCUCCACCACCUGCAGCUUCUCAGCCAAUGCUGAUUCUGGGAACCAAUGGCCCUUCCAAGAGCUGGUUUUAGAGCCCUCUCUGGGGAUGAAGAACCCUCCCCAGCUGGAAGAUGAUGCACUUGAAGGCUCAGCAAGCAACACACAAGGGCGUCAAGUCACUGGCCGGAUUCGUGCCUCCCUUGUCCUGAUACUGAAGACCAUCAGAAGAGACUCCCCUUCAGCAAGUGGAGACUGGCAUUCAGAUUCGCUGGCCUGCAUGCUGAGAGCGCAGAGAUACCAAAUACUGCUGGAAGGACGCAAAGGAUGGUAGGAUGAAAGAAUGUCAACAAAAGCAGCUUUUCCACUUGAUAAAAACAACGAAAACAGCAAAGCAAGUUUAAGUCCAAACACAAUAUUGCAGGGGUCCUUCACUGAGGAUUGAAUUUCAGACACAGAAUACUCUUGAUGACUUCAAGCCACUAUGCUCCUUUGAUUUGAGAAGCCACAUUCCAUCCCCCUCCAAUUGUGAUCAAUACCUAGGGAGACCAAUGCCCAGAUGGACAAAUAGCAUUGACAGGCGUUAGCCCUGUUUCUCAAUUCCCAUCGUGUACAGAAAGGAGUCCGCAGCUGCUGGCAGGAGACAGCAUGUCAGCCGGGACUCUGCCAGGGCAGAGUAUGAGCAAUGCCAUGUUCUUGCUGAAAAUGCUUAGCCUGAGUUUCAUAGGCAGGUAACCCUCAGAUAACUGCAGAAUGUAUAACAUUGAACAGGACAACUGACCUGUCUCCUUCAAACAGUCCAUGUCACCACCAAGAACACAACAAAAAGGAGAAGAGACAUUUUGAGUUCAAAAAGAGUAAAAAGCCUAUGCAGCUUAUGCUUUUUUAGUCAUUUUGAACCCAAAACAUCUCCUCAUCUUUUUGUUGUUGUCAUUGAUGGUGGUGACAUGGACUUGUUUGUAGAGGACAGGUCAGCUGUCUGGCUCAAUGAUCUACAUUCUGAAGUUAUCUGAAAAUGUCGUCAUGAUUAAAUCCAGCCUAAACAUUUUGCCAGGAACUCUGCAGAGUCCAUGCUGUAGCUUCCUACCUCAGUCCAUCUGCAGGCAGAGAAGGCCCAGUGUGUCCAUCCCCAAUGCGGUGAUACUAGGAUGGUCACUUGGUCAAGGAGGGUUAGGAGCUCUGUCCCUUGUAAAGACAUCUUAUUUGUAAGUAGUUUGGAAAGUGGUUUGAAAUAGUAUAAAUAUCCUGUAUUCUAAUGAUCUUCUUCAGAACAUUUUAUCACCAAUUAAUCACCCCGCCUGUGUCAGUUAUUAUAUUUAUGUUUGUACAUUGAAAAUUGUCUAUCUCAAAAUCUUACCUUAUACUUGCUUUUGCUGGCAUUCUUCAUAAAAAAGAUUAUUCCCUGCCCAAAUUUUAACUUUCAUCCAAAAUUAAUUUUAAUUUCUUUUUGCUGGCAUUCUGUUGUGAAAAAGAAUAUUCUCUGCCCCAAUUAUAACUUUCAUCCAAAAUUAAUUUUAGUUCCAUCAGUUAAAAUUUUAAGUUUUAAAUCUGUUUAAUUAAAACAUUUCUUGCCUCUCACUCUGGACUAUUGGAUUUUUUACUAUAUAAUGUUUUAAGUCUUUUAUUUAUUAUGAUUGAUUUUGGUCGGAUAAGAAUUUAGAUUAAUAAAAACAAUUCUUAUUUCCUUGUUUAUAUUCAAAACUCUUCCAUGUUCUAGUCUAUGUUUACCGUAUGUGGUAGAUUGUAUUUCCUGUAUUUCUUUGUUGAUGUUAUUUGUUUUCUUUUUGUGUUUGUGUGUGUGUGUGCUUUUUGUUUGUUGUUUAGGAAGAGUUGUAUAGCUCCCAUUUAACAUUGCACUGAAAAGGUUUUAACGUCACUAAUCCCCUUUUAACUUGACACAUUUCCACUGUUUGGUUUAUACAUUUUAAAUUAUUUCUUUGAAUGUCAAAUUUUUAUCACUAUGACAAUCAAAGACAUCAUUUUCC